GAAAGGUAGAAGGACUUACUCUUCGGAGUGAGAGCGUACACAGGUGCUGCAUGGCUGUCGUCAGCUCGUGUCGUGAGAUGUGGGUUAAGUCCGCAACGAGCGCAACCCUGCAUUCAGUUGCCAUCGGUAAGGCCGGGCACUCUGGAUGGACUGCCGGCGACAAGCCGGAGGAAGUGGGGACGACGUCAAGUCAUCAUGGCCCUUAUGUCCAGGGCGACACACGUGCUACAAUGGCCGGCACAACGGGAAGCGAAGGGGCGACCCUGAGCGGAUCCCACAAAAGCCGGUCUCAGUUCGGAUUGCAGUCUGCAACUCGACUGCAUGAAGUUGGAAUCGCUAGUAAUCGUGGAUCAGCCAAGCCGCGGUGAAUACGUUCCCGGGCCUU
rnacentral:rRNA from 1 species